ensembl:snRNA U2 U2 spliceosomal RNA
AUCGCUUCUCGGCCUUUUGGAUAAGAUCAAGUGCAGUAUCUGUUCUUAUCAGUUUAAUAAAGGAAACAAAUAACUCGUUAAGUUCCUUCAAAUAAACUUAUUGGACACAAAUCAUA